rnacentral:rRNA from 1 species
CCUACGGGAGGCAGCAGUAGGGAAUCUUCCACAAUGGGCGAAAGCCUGAUGGAGCAACGCCGCGUGGGUGAAGAAGGUCUUCGGAUCGUAAAACCCUGUUGUUAGAGAAGAAAGUGCGUGAGAGUAACUGUUCACGUUUCUACGUUAUCUAACCAGAAAGCAACGGCUAACUACGGUCCAGCAGCCGCGGUAAUACGUAGGUGGCAAGCGUUAUCCGGAUGUAUUGGGCGUAAAGGGAACGCAGGCGGUCUUUUAAGUCUGAUGUGAAAGCCUUCGGCUUAACCGGAGUAGUGGAUGGGAAACUGGGAGACUUGAGUGCAGAAGAGGAGAGUGGAACUCCAUGUG